rnacentral:rRNA from 1 species
ACAGCAGCAGCCACGGUAAUACGUAGGUGGCAAGCGUUGUCCGGAAUUAUUGGGCGUAAAGGGCUCGCAGGCGGUUUCUUAAGUCUGAUGUGAAAGCCCCCGGCUCAACCGGGGAGGGUCAUUGGAAACUGGGAAACUUGAGUGCAGAAGAGGAGAGUGGAAUUCCGCGUGUAGCGGUGAAAUGCGUAGAGAUGUGGAGGAACACCAGUAGCGAAGGCGACUCUCUGGUCUGUAACUGACGCUGAGGAGCGAAAGCGUGGGGAGCGAACAGGAUUAGAUACCCCUGUAGUCCCUGUCUCUUAUAC